rnacentral:rRNA from 1 species
AGAGUUUGAUCCUGGCUCAGGAUGAACGCUAGCGACAGGCCUAACACAUGCAAGUCGAGGGGCAUCGGGGCGAGGAGCAAUCCUUGCCGCCGGCGACCGGCGCACGGGUGAGUAACGCGUAUGCGACCUGCCCGUUGCAGGGGGAUAAUCGGGAGAAAUCCCGUCUAAUACCGCGUAAUGCCGCGGGGCUGCAUGGCCCUGCGGCCAAAGGGAGCGAUUCCGGCAACGGAUGGGCAUGCGUGACAUUAGCUAGUUGGCGGGGCAACGGCCCACCAAGGCGACGAUGUCUAGGGGUUCUGAGAGGAAGGUCCCCCACACUGGUACUGAGACACGGACCAGACUCCUACGGGAGGCAGCAGUGAGGAAUAUUGGUCAAUGGGCGCGAGCCUGAACCAGCCAAGUCGCGUGAGGGAUGACGGCCCUACGGGUUGUAAACCUCUUUUGUCGGGGAGCAAAUUCCGCCACGUGUGGCGGAGUCGAGAGUACCCGAAGAAAAAGCAUCGGCUAACUCCGUGCCAGCAGCCGCGGUAAUACGGAGGAUGCGAGCGUUAUCCGGAUUUAUUGGGUUUAAAGGGUGCGUAGGCGGACUGUCAAGUCAGCGGUAAAAUACGGGGGCUCAACCUCCGCCCGCCGUUGAAACUGACGGUCUUGAGUGGGCGAGAAGUAUGCGGAAUGCGUGGUGUAGCGGUGAAAUGCAUAGAUAUCACGCAGAACUCCGAUUGCGAAGGCAGCAUACCGGCGCCCAACUGACGCUGAAGCACGAAAGCGUGGGUAUCGAACAGGAUUAGAUACCCUGGUAGUCCACGCAGUAAACGAUGAAUACUAGCUGUCCGGGGCGAAUGAGCCCUGGGUGGCACAGCGAAAGCGUUAAGUAUUCCACCUGGGGAGUACGCCGGCAACGGUGAAACUCAAAGGAAUUGACGGGGGCCCGCACAAGCGGAGGAACAUGUGGUUUAAUUCGAUGAUACGCGAGGAACCUUACCCGGGCUCAAACGACACAGGAACGUACCUGAAAGGGUUCGGCUCUACGGAGCCUGUGUCGAGGUGCUGCAUGGUUGUCGUCAGCUCGUGCCGUGAGGUGUCGGCUUAAGUGCCAUAACGAGCGCAACCCCCAUCGACAGUUGCUAACAGGUCAGGCUGAGGACUCUGUCGAGACUGCCGGCGCAAGCUGCGAGGAAGGCGGGGAUGACGUCAAAUCAGCACGGCCCUUACGUCCGGGGCGACACACGUGUUACAAUGGCAGGUACAGCGGGAAGCCACCUGGCGACAGGGAGCGGAACCCGAAAGCCUGUCUCAGUUCGGAUUGGAGUCUGCAACCCGACUCCAUGAAGCUGGAUUCGCUAGUAAUCGCGCAUCAGCCACGGCGCGGUGAAUACGUUCCCGGGCCUUGCACACACCGCCCGUCA